GAGAACAUGAAGAGAAGGUCCUCUGACGGGAUUAGUAUCCAGAUACAAAAAGAACUCAAAAACUUAACACCAAAAAAAUCAAAUAGCCCAAUUAAUAAACAGGCAAAAGAACUAAACAGCUCUCAGAAGAAGAAACACAAAUGGCCAGUAACUACUGAAACCAUAUCCAGCAUCUCUAGCAAUCAGGGAAAUGCAGAUCAAAACCACACUAAGGUUUCACCUCGCUCCAGUCGGAACAGCUGUCGUCAAGAACACAAAGACUAAAUGCCGGUGAGGAUGGGGGGGAAGUGCUCUCCUACGCUGUUGAUGGGACAGAGGACGCACAACCACUCUGGAAAGCAAAAUGGAGAUGCCUCAAAAAACUAGGAAUGGCACCACUACGUGGCCCAGCUGACCCCCUCCUUGGUAUCUAUCCAAAAGAACUAAAAUCAGCAUUCUCUGUUGAUACAGCACUCAAUAUUUAUAGCAGCACAAUUCACAACAGCCAAAUUGUGGUGUCACCCCAGACGCCCACCAAUGAAUGGUAUAUAUACACCAUGGGGUUUCACUCAGCCAC
rnacentral:lncRNA from 1 species